CCUCCUCAGCGCUGAAGGCAGAAGUGGGCGGGCCCUGAACUCCGGGCGAUCCUCUCAGAGGGGCCCCUGCUUUCAAGCCAUUUACCUGACCCAUGGUCUGCAAGGACACGUUCCGCGUGGGCUAUGGCUUGGGGAAAAGUCUUAGGAAGUCGUAUUUUUUGUCACAGUCCUGGAGGGGUUUGCAAAGUACCUUUGUUUUUAGGGAAACUGUGUUACUGCAGUGGAGCGCCCUGGCACAGCAGGGCUGACCGUCGAAGGCCAUGUGUUCGUCAUGAGUUACAGAUGUGUAUGGACUCUCUGAUGUUUCCUUGUUCUGGAAAUCCUAUAGAAGGUGGCUCACACGUCCAGCUAUGCUCUGGGGGUGGUCACAGCAAAGUUCUGUGGUUCAGCCUGGAGGUGCCAACGCAGGCGCACACACCGAGAACCAGCGAGAGUGAAAACGUGUUGUGCGAAUGUGGACGGGGUGCGGUAAACGUGAGGCACCUAAAAUCUCUUCUAUUGCUUUUAAAAGACAUAGUCACGUAGUAUAAGCUUUAGUGCGUUUGUGAACAAUGGAACCAGUACCAUUACCGUGGCGCCUGUGCUGCGCUUUGGAGACGCAGGCGCAGUGGGUUGUGUGGUGCGCGCCCCUUGGUCUGCGCCCCAGAUGAGCAGUCAGCCUUCCGGGCACACUUAGGGUGCUUGUAACACUUGCUGCUGUGGAGCGUGUGCUCAGGUGAACAUAGUGGUAACGAGACACCCCAGUGACUGGGGGCGAGGCUGGUGGUGUUUCCCACCCCGCCUUCCCAAGAAGCUGUGGGUAGAAUGGCCAUGUUUACACCAGCCAGUGCAUUUGAGAAAUGCAAGCAAGCAAGUCCCUGUCAUCACACGUGCUUGGAAGCGGAACAGUUGGUACCAUGUUGGUGGUGAAGCGGCACAGGUAACAACCAAAAGGGUCACGAGUGUCGGUAACCUGCAGACAUGCUCACCCCUGGGUUUGAGUGCCACCUAGAAACCCAAUGAUCUCCCCCUGUGUUCCCCAGGCAGCCUAGGGCCAGGGGUACAGGACGGUGGCCACGGACACGGUGUUGUGCAGUGUGCCUCCCACGGGGCACUCGGCAGCUCCAAGUGAUGCAGCAGAGCGGCCGCUGCUCCCACUCAGGGGGCCCAUGAGGCCAGGGGGUGCCGACAGCCCCCAGGUGCCACUCCUGGGUCUGGCCCCCACAGGGAGAUUCCUGCUGGGGGGCCGGCACCCAGAGACUGGCUGAGGGCAUGGUGGUCCCUCAGGGCCGAGCGUGCACUUGCACUCAGACCCCGGUGGUGGCUACACAGUCGGAAUCCACUCCUGCUGCUGGGGCAGCUGGGAAGUGGCCUUGAAAUGAAGGAAGCUGCUCGGCGGUGCAGAGCAUGGGGUGGAAGGGCAGCCGGUGUGAGAUGGCAUGGUGGGGGCCGGGGCCCGGCGGCACGCCCAGCAAGGACACAAGUCGGUGCGGCUCGCACGGGAGGCUUUCCUGAUCCCGCGCUGUGGAACGGCCGGGCGGCCCGGCACCCCCGCCCGACGGCGCUGCUGCCCUUGGGAGAGCAAGGCUCCCCUGCUCUAGGGCCCUAGCAGAUGGCGGAGGGGGUUGGGACUCCGCGUGGAAGGUGUGCUUGGGACUGGCUUUGCCGCUUAGCAGCUUGUGACCCACGUCCUCCCGGGGCCUGGGUUGCUAGAGCGUUCACCAAGUGUGUGAGGAGUGUCCCAGCCCCCGGACUGCUGUGACACGCAUGCGAGGGCCCAGACACAGAGUAGCUGCUACAGAGAGGGCGCUCAUGCCACCCAGCAGGUGCGGCAGAAGGCAAGGAGCCGAGGCCUGCUUCUCUCCCGUUCCUGUCCCUGCGGGCCCUGGGGCCUGCGGCUCUAGACGACAGGGCGGCCGGCUCUGUCAGGUCCGGCACCUGGUUUUCACGGCAUGUUCAUGCCCCCGCAACAGAUACCCCAGACUGGGCAGCUCAGGCAACAGGACCCCCAGUCUACGGUAUCAGGGCUCGCCCUCCUCUCAUUUCACCGUGACCACCCGACUAAAGACUCCCUCUCCAAAGACAGUCCCAUUCCGAGGUCCCGGGCCGAGGUCUUCAAUGUAUGUAUCUUGGGGAACGUGGUGUGGCCCAUAACAUCCGCUCACGGACGGAGGGAGGUGCCCACACGCGCUGUGUGCGAAUCGGCUGGGGAACCGGUCUAUGAAGCAGCAAGGGAGCCGGCCCCCUUCUGGGUGAGCAGGUUGGGGUAUCAGGCUGUGUCAUCCGAUGACUGUGGUGUCCGUGUGACCGGCGCACACAAGGGCUCAUUGUCAGGAGGUGCGGGGCCGACAGCCUCAGCAAGGAUGUCUGGGCCUCUCAGCAGCAGCAGUCCCCCCCACCCCCAUAAGACACUUCACGUAGAGGGAAAGCUUUGCGUGGAGUUUAGGCGCAUGAGUCUCACGGUCUCCUUGGUGCUUGGAAACCUCUCCUUGGGGCUGGACUUGAGGUGACCACGUGUCAGGAGCCUCCUCUGGGCUCUACAGAGGAAUGAGGCCCAGGCCUGGGGCUGGGGGCAGCGCUGUGCCAUAUGGGGGAAUCCGUGUGGGACCCGGGGAGAUAGACUUUGGCGGUAGAUAUGACCGAUGUGACUGGGGCACAAAGAGCGGGGGCAGACGAGGACAGUGGUGCGUACGUGGGCUCAGCAGUGAGGCUAUGGGGAGGGGCAGACACCAGCCCUUGAAGCCAGAGUUCGCUCUUCAGGCACGCUCAUGACUCCCCGUGGUUGGAUCGAGGCAUCGGUCUGGGGACAGGAGAUCGUGCGGUUGUGGUCGGGGCAGGAGGGUCCUGAGCACCCCUAUGCCCCGUGCAGGGGACUGUGGCUCUGAAGGAAGGAGCUCAGACACACAGGCGGAAUGGCAGCCUCAUAGUCUAUCCAGAAACUUCGGGUCCCUCAGCACAGCCCCAUUGCCAUCUAGUCAGGGCAGAUGGCGCGGCUGCAACGUGUAUGGCUGCCACAUAGCUGCGUGGGCAUCCGGGACACACUGCAGCGGGCGCUGUGCCGCCGAGGCUCUGCAGGCCCCACGCUCAGCAGCCCUGUCUUCAGACUGGGCAAUCCCCACGCAGGUGAACUUCUCUGCCGCGGGCUCCACGGUCACAGCUUUGCCCGGUGACUGCUUGCUUCCGAGAAGGAAGGGCCAGUGCUCAGUGCAGCUACAGGCAGGGGACGGGGACGUACGCGUUAGGUCCCCAGCAGAGCCCAGCCUCCUGUCCACCCUCCUGCAGCCCAGCCCCCCUGCACAGCCCGCUUCCCGGCCCCCCAGCAGCAGCAGCACGUGUGCACCACCUUCCAGGUGCAGCGAGACCUCUGGCGGGGUUGGGGACAACUCCAGCCUGCAGGACAGGAUUUCUGGGACUCAGUGUCCCACCUCUUCCUCUGCUAGGACACCUGCGGGACAGACAAACAGGGCUGUGGCCGGCGUGCUGAGUGGAGGCCCUUAGGGAAAACACUUAGGAAAAUGUGCCUUUCCAGAAAGAUAGCAUAAGUCUUCCAACUCUCAAGGCUGUGGGGUGGGGUGGGGGCUCCUUGAGUGUGUGCUGCUCAGAGAGGAUGUGUGAGCCCCACUAGGUGGGCUUUCCGGCGGGCGCCCCGCUCCCAGUCAGCAGGAGUGUGCCUCCCCUGCAGGGCUGUGGGUGCCGGAGUCCCUAGCAGGCCACCGUCCCCGGGUCUCCAUCACUGCCUGUCUGCCUCCCUUCAAACGACCCGAUGGGGAUCCCUGGGUGGCGCAGCGGUUUGGCGCCUGCCUUUGGCUGGGGGCGCGAUCCUGGAGACCCGGGAUCGAGUCCCACGUCGGGCUCCCGGUGCAUGGAGCCUGC